rnacentral:rRNA from 1 species
GAUGAAUGCUGGCGGCGUGCCUAAUACAUGCAAGUCGAGCGGUAAGGCCCUUCGGGGUACACGAGCGGCGGACGGCUGAGUAACGCGUGGGAACAUGCCCCAAAGUGAGGGAUAACGCACCGAAAGGUGUGCUAAUACCGCAUAUGGUCUUCGGAUUAAAGGAUUUAUCCGCUUUGGGAGUGGCCCGCGUACGAUUAGAUUGUUGGUGAGGUAACGGCUCACCAAGUCGACGAUCGUUAACUGGUCUGAGAGGAUGAUCAGUCAGACUGGAACUGAGACACGGUCCAGACUCCUACGGGAGGCAGCAGUAAGGAAUCUUCCACAAUGGGCGAAAGCCUGAUGGAGCAACGCCGCGUGCAGGAUGAAGGCCCUCGGUCGUAAACUGCUUUAUGAGUGAAGAAUAUGACGGUAACUCAUGAAUAAGCACCGGCUAACUACGUGCCAGCAGCCGCGGUAAU